UCCCAGACUCCUACGGGAGGCAGCAGUGGGGAAUAUUGCACAAUGGGGGAAACCCUGAUGCAGCAACGCCGCGUGAGUGAAGAAGUAUUUCGAUAUGUAAAGCUCUAUCAGCAGGGAAGAAGAUGACGGUACCUGAGUAAGAAGCCCCGGCUAACUACGUGCCAGCAGCCGCGGUAAUACGUAGGGGGCAAGCGUUAUCCGGAUUUACUGGGUGUAAAGGGAGCGUAGACGGCAUAGCAAGUCUGAAGUGAAAGCCCGAGGCUCAACCAUGGGACUGCUUUGGAAACUGUUAAGCUAGAGUGCAGGAGAGGUAAGCGGAAUUCCUAGUGUAGCGGUGAAAUGCGUAGAUAUUAGGAAGAACACCAGUGGCGAAGGCGGCUUACUGGACAGUAACUGACGUUGAGGCUCGAAAGCGUGGGGAGCAAACAGGAUUAGAUACCCGGGUA
rnacentral:rRNA from 1 species